rnacentral:rRNA from 1 species
AACGGACGCUGGCGGCAUGCCUAACACAUGCAAGUCGAACGAGACCUUCGGGUCUCGUGGCGCACGGGUGCGUAACGCGUGGGAACCUGCCCUUAGGUUCGGAAUAACUCCCCGAAAGGGGUGCUACUACCGGAUAAUGUCUUCGGACCCAAGAUUUAUCGCCUUUGGAUGGGCCCGCGUUGGAUUAGCUAGUUGGUAGGGUAAAAGCCUACCAAGGCGACGAUCCAUAGCUGGUCUGAGAGGAUGAUCAGCCACACUGGGACUGAGACCCGGCCCAGACUCCUACGGGAAGAAGCAGUGGGGAAUAAUGGACAAUGGGCGAAAGCCUGAGCCAGCAAUGCCGCGUGAGUGAUGAAGGCCUUAGGGUUGUAAAGCUCUUUUACCCGGGAUGAUAAUGACAGUACCGGGAGAAUAAGCUCCGGCUAACUCCGUG